rnacentral:rRNA from 1 species
GACGAACGCUGGCGGCGUGCUUAACACAUGCAAGUCGAACGAUGAACCGGUUUCGGCCGGGGAUUAGUGGCGAACGGGUGAGUAACACGUGGGCAAUCUGCCCUGCACUCUGGGACAAGCCCUGGAAACGGGGUCUAAUACCGGAUACGACAUGGGAAUGCAUGUUCCUGUGUGGAAAGCUCCGGCGGUGCAGGAUGAGCCCGCGGCCUAUCAGCUAGUUGGUGGGGUAGAGGCCUACCAAGGCGACGACGGGUAGCCGGCCUGAGAGGGCGACCGGCCACACUGGGACUGAGACACGGCCCAGACUCCUACGGGAGGCAGCAGUGGGGAAUAUUGCACAAUGGGCGAAAGCCUGAUGCAGCGACGCCGCGGGAGGGAUGACGGCCUUCGGGUUGUAAACCUCUUUCAGCAGGGAAGAAGCUUUCGGGUGACGGUACCUGCAGAAGAAGCACCGGCUAACUACGUGCCAGCAGCCGCCGUAA